UACGUAGGGCGCAAGCGUUGUCCGGAAUUAUUGGGCGUAAAGAGCUCGUAGGCGGUUUGUCGCGUCUGCUGUGAAAUCCCGAGGCUCAACCUCGGGACUGCAGUGGGUACGGGCAGACUAGAGUGUGGUAGGGGAGACUGGAAUUCCUGGUGUAGCGGUGGAAUGCGCAGAUAUCAGGAGGAACACCAAUGGCGAAGGCAGGUCUCUGGGCCACAACUGACGCUGAGGAGCGAAAGCGUGGGGAGCGAACAGG
rnacentral:rRNA from 1 species